GAACUUACCUUAUAUAAUACUAACAAAUAAUAAGACUACGAAAGGAAGUUAGAUACCUUAGAUAGUCCUUUCUGGUUUCAAGGGGGAACCGUGGUCCGGCGCUUGUGACCGGCUCUAGAAAACAAACCGAACUUACCUUUCCCACCUAAAACUCCCCAAUGAUGGAAAUCAUUAGCAGGUGGGGCGAGGGUACCCAGUCGUCGGUACUAACCUUGUCUCUGGCCAAAAGCACGGAAAGCUUGGUGGAAUAUUGGGAGGAGGUUUCCGGAUACAAAGGACAGUGCCCGUUUUGAGAAGCAAGGGUACCCUAUCCCAACAUUCAGGUAAAUCAUGGCUUUUGCCAUCUAAACGAUGAUGAAACAUAACGAGUAUCUUUCAUCAUGGUUACACUUAAUGUUUAAUGAAGUGGCAAAAAGGAAGAAUGUUUAUUACUUAGGCCCUUUUUGCUCACUCCUUCAAGUACAAAAAUUCACCCACGACAUUAAAUGAGGCUCAGGUGAAGUUUUGCAUGUUUGGCUCGAGGUGGCUUUUAAUUUGCCGCUGUCACGCGUUCGGAGCAUUAAUUUGCUUAUUACCAAAGAGUCACACCUAAUCUAUUAAACGCAUAUUUGACCUGAUGAGAGUCGAAUUUAUGGAAGCCAUUCACAAGGACCACGAAACACAAUGGCAAAAGGUUGGGUUCCUUAUCAUUCAUCAGAAUUAAAAAGGAACAAUGACAAUUGAAAGUUCCAGCCACGUGUGGCGGUUGUUUGUGUGCGGGCUUCCACUCGAUUUUAUUGCCGAUUCGUAUUCCACGUUUAAUUGUGCUCCGCAAACAUUGUCGGACCGAACAGCGGAAAUUAAAAGUUCUCCCGGCUUCGACGGCGGAUCAACAGAGUUUUCCCAAUGAUCGAUCAUCGCGGAAUUAUCAUUAUCAAUUGGAUGAUUGGA